AGUGUUGCAGCGUUAGGAAGGUUGAGAACCACUGGUCUGCACGUCUCUGCCUGAAUUACUUAACGUUCUUGUGCUGUAGUGACUUUGUUGGUGAAAUGACACUAAGGACAAUAGCAAAGCAGUACUUCCUGUCUGGGCUGCUGAGAAGAUUGACUGACUUAAGAGCUGGGAGCCACUGAGAACAAGUUGGGCCUUAGCAAGGCCUCCCUGCCUACUGUUGCUGUUCUUUGGGGUUUUAGAGAAUUUUCUGGAGAACAUCUGAGACCCCAUGAACUAGGCAGAUGCCCAAUAGGACACUGUAUGAAACCGGAGUUUUCAGGUGCUGGCUUUCAGGAAGUGAACAUAAAAGCCGCUGAAUAAACAAGGCCUUUUAAACAACUCCAAUGCCCUCUCCUGAUACAGUCUGCAGUGUUGACAUAACUAAACAAACACAGCUCCCGUCAGACGAUGGAGGAGAGAACCUUCGAACAUUUGAGAACUUCCUAAGGUGGCCAAACCUGCAGGGUGGCUGAGGGAGCGGGAACCCACGCUGCCUGAUACGAUCAAAUGCCUUGGUAAAGUCAACAAAUUACAUUUUCAGGUGCUCCCAGAUUUGUUCUGUGCCUGAUCUCUGGCAGAAAUCAAAUUCAGCAAUGUCUUCUGGGCCCUGUGGCUUAACAUCACGUAUUCAUUUCUGCUUUCUGGUUCCGGACACACAGGCUAUACCAGGCAGGGAUAGGCAGAGAGAAAUGAGAGAUGCUAUCUACUUGGUAAGUCCCACUUUGGAGGUGUGUCCCUCCUGACACAAUGCUGGCUGUAGUAAGCUAAGUUCAGGGAAAGUAAGAGCAACUAGCUGGCCCAGAUCAGAUUUCUUUGUAUUUUUUUCUCUUUCCUGAGAUGGGAUCUCAUGUAGCUUGGUCUAGCCUUGAACUUGCUAUAGCAGAGGCUGCUGUGAACUUCUGAUCCUCCUAUGUGAUAUAAUUAUAGGCAUGUAUCACCACACAGUGGGUUUGUCUGGUGCAUGCAUAUACAAGUGUGUGUGUGAGUGUGUGUGUGUGUGUGAGAGAGAGAGAGAAAGAGAGAGAGAGAGGGUGUGUGUGUGUGUGUGUGUGUGAGAGAGAGAGAGCGUGUGUGUGUGUGAGAGAGAGAGAGAGAAAGAGAGAGAGGGUGUGUGUGUGUGAGAGAGAGAGAGAGAGCGUGUGUGUGUGUGUGUGAGUGUGUGUGUGUGUGUGAGAGAGAGUGUGUGUGAGUGUGAAUGUGUGUGUGUGAGAGUGUGUGUGUGUGAGAGAGUGUGUGUGUGAGUGUGUGUGUGUGAGAGAGUGUGUGUGUGUGAGAGAGAGUGUGUGUGUGAGUGUGUGUGAGUGUGUGUGUGUGUGUGAGAGAGUGUGUGUGAGUGUGUGUGUGUGUGUGUGUGUGUGUGUGUGUGUGUGUGUGUGUGUGUUGAGAUAUGGUCUCAUACAGUCCAGGCCUGCCUUGUUGAACUCAGGCAAGCACUCUAGCAACUGAGGGACAUCUCUGUCCGUGAAGGGGGACUUUAACUUUAGAUUCUUCUCUUGUCAGUGAACUGUUCUCAACUGGCGGCUCCAUGUUCCACCAGGAACAUCUGGCAAUCUCUAUCACAAAUGAAUGGAGGAGAGAUCCUGGCAUCCUUUAGGCAGAGACAGGGUUUCUCUGUGUAACUUCCCACCGUGGAACUUGCUCUGUAGACUCGCAGAUCUUCUCGUCUCUUCCUCCACUGUACCACCUCCAGGAGUACGCCACCGCUGCUGGUAGGAGUACCAAGGGAAAAUAUCUGCUGGUCCUCAGACUGGAGCACCAAACCCAAGAAUGCCGUGUUACCCCCGCCACUUCAUAAUACAGGCGCCUGCAUUGCUUUUUCUAUGACGUUUGUGACUCCUUCACAUCCCUAGACUCAUAAGCAAUGGAGACUGCUCGAACGCUACUCCAGGAAAAUCAGGAGCACAGAGGCGUCUUGAACCCUGGCCUUGUCUUCUUAGGAAAUGGAAACUGAGGCAGAGCGUGCACCACUUCAGUCAUGGCUGAGGUGGAGUCACUCACUGCCCAUAGCAGCGCACUGGGGUCUGUCACCAGGGUUGGCCAGUGGGGGAACUGACUUUGAGCUGUGGCGUUUCAGACAUUUCAAUCGUGGCUUUUCUACUUUGACCCUGGGAUUCCCCAGUAUGACGAUGAGCAUGCUUUUGAAAUUCUCUGAACCUUACUUUUCUCCUCUUUAAAGUGGAGACAGUGAUAGUAUCUUAGUCCUUAGAUGUUUUUAAAUCUGGGUUAUGAGAUGAAAUAUGAGUGACACAUAUGGUGAUUUAUUGUUGGAGGACGGAAGUUAUCGGUGCUGUGCCAAGCUGGGACUGAAGCAUUUCGCGGUGAGAAAGAGAUUCAGUGUUGUUAUCUGUGUGUGUGUAUUCAAGUAUGUGCAGGUGUCUGUGUGUACAUGGAUACGGAGGACAUUAUGCCUUAGUCGCUGUCCACUUUUAAAUUUUUUAGAUAGAUUCCGCCACCCUCUUAAGCUUGGUUCUCUUCCUGCUCUGGAACUUGUCAAGUAGACAAGGCUGGCUGGCCAGCGUGCCCCAGGGAUCCACUCAGCUCUACCUCCAUAGCCGUGGGAUGACCAGUGCACACACCACAUCUGGUUCUGAGUGAGCAUGGGAGAACAAAUGCUACAGUGACAACCCUGAGUGUCCCCAGCUGCUAUCUGUUUGGGACAGGGUCUCUCUUGUUCACUCCCUUGUUGUUUCAGACUAGCUGACCCAGGAGUUUCUGAGUGAGCGGUUGAUAAUUGUCUUAUCUUUGCCUCCUAUCUCCCAGGAAGGGGUGUGCUGGGAUCACAGCCAUUCGUGGUUUUUGUGUUACACUGUCUGGCGUUUACCUGGGUUCUGGGGAAUCCAAAUUUAGGUUAUCAGGCUUGAAUGGCAAGUGCUUCAUGCUUCACCUGUUAAGCCAACUCCCUGGCACCCAGGGUUUUUUUUUUUUUUUUUUUUUUUUUGUGAGUUCUGCAGAUAACACUCAUGUUCUUAGGCUUGGAAGACAAAAGCUGUAUUGACAGAGCUCUCUCCGUAGCCCCAAAUAUUCAGUAUAUUUAUCCAGAAAAAAUAUCAUUACCUGGGAGAUGAGUCCACUUUUUUACGCAGAGGACCUCUGCUGGGGUACAUUCCUCACAACUCAAUCCACACUUUUGGUAGGGAGUGGGCAAG